rnacentral:sRNA from 1 species
GCUGGGCGGGCGCGCCGGGCCUGGGGAAGGGGCGGGUGCGGGGACCCGAUGCGCGGGAGCGGAGGCCGAGAUGGCUUCGGCGGGAGGCGAAGACUGCGAGAGCCCCGCGCCGGAGGCCGACCGUCCGCACCAGCGGCCCUUCCUGAUAGGGGUGAGCGGCGGCACUGCCAGCGGGAAGUCGACCGUGUGUGAGAAGAUCAUGGAGUUGCUGGGACAGAACGAGGUGGAACAGCGGCAGCGGAAGGUGGUCAUCCUGAGCCAGGACAGGUUCUACAAGGUCCUGACGGCAGAGCAGAAGGCCAAGGCCUUGAAAGGACAGUACAAUUUUGACCACCCAGAUGCCUUUGAUAAUGAUUUGAUGCACAGGACUCUGAAGAACAUCGUGGAGGGCAAAACGGUGGAGGUGCCGACCUAUGAUUUUGUGACACACUCAAGGUUACCAGAGACCACGGUGGUCUACCCUGCGGACGUGGUUCUGUUUGAGGGCAUCUUGGUGUUCUACAGCCAGGAGAUCCGGGACAUGUUCCACCUGCGCCUCUUCGUGGACACCGACUCCGACGUCAGGCUGUCUCGAAGAGGUAAGGCGGCCGCGGGCCUCCGUGCCUGCCUGGCCGAGGCUGGCGGCAGGUCCUGAGGUCUGAAGCACGCCUGCCCCUUGCCGCUGCAGUUCUCCGGGACGUGCGCCGAGGGAGGGACCUGGAGCAGAUUCUGACGCAGUACACCACCUUCGUGAAGCCGGCCUUCGAGGAGUUCUGCCUGCCGACAAAGAAGUAUGCCGACGUGAUCAUCCCGCGA